AUUAAGAAGUCUGCUCCCGAGGGGCGGGGGCGGGAAGCCGCGAGAGCCCCGCCCCCGCCCCGACCCGACCACGCCCCCUUCCAAAAGCUUGCUGGGGCGCCCCCGGGGGUGGCUUGGGGAAGGCACUGGGAUCGGACGGUAGGGGUGGGAGGGGACUCCCCGGAAGACCCGGCAGGAAGAGGAACUUUGGCAGACUCUAGGGACCUGGUUCCUGCUCACCCCUGCAGCCUUCCAGCUCCCCGCCCCCACCUCUGCUCCAGACAGACCAGCUCUCUUCCAGCCUCUGUGCCCUUGUACACGCUGUUCGGAGGACUGGAAUUUUCUCCUGGGUCAUCGGACCAACUGUUCAUUCCUUAGGACUCAGCCCAGACUUCCUCUUCUCCAGGGAGGUGAGAUGGAGAGAACCACUGCACGACCAUCCCAGGGUAGCUCCAAGGAUUAAGUGAAGAGCGUUAAUCGUAUCCUUGGACGUCACAGGAGUUCAGUAUAUGUUAACUAAUAUCGUUGUCCUUGUUCUGUAUUAUCCAGCCGGGCCGGUUCUAAUCACCUCCUCCUGGCCUGCGUCUGGGGCGCCUGUCACUACAGCUCUCUGCUCCAAGCUGCCCACAACUUGAAUCAUUUCAUCUUCACUUAGAACACUCAAUGGCUUCCCCCAGGAUAUAAAAACUCCAGCUAAUUUUC
ensembl:lncRNA